UAGCAGCGUGGUCGGGGUGAGGAUACUGCUUGCUGACACCGGGCACGGGUGUAACGCGUAUGCAACCUACCUCAUACUGGAGCAUAGCCCUUGGAAACGGGGAUUAAUACUCCUGGUAUCUGAAUUCCGUUUUCAUGAUUAAAAAUUUCGGUAUGAGAUGGGCUGCCCAUUACAGUGGGAGGUACGGCUCACCAGGCGACGAUGGGUAGGGGGCCUGAAGGGUGGCCCCCACACUGGUACUGAGACGGACCAACUCCUACGGGAGGCGCAUGAGGAUAUUGGCGGAGGCACUCGAACCAGCCAUGCCGCGUGAAGAUGACGCCCUAUGGGUUGUAAAUUCUUUUAUAUGGAAGAAACUUAUCUACGUGUAAUAACUGACGGUACCAUACGAAUAAGGAUCGGCUAACUCCGUGCCAGCAGCCGCGGUAAUACGGAGGAUCCAAGCGUUAUCCGGAUUCAUUGGGUUUAAAGGGUCCUAGGCGGAUUUUUAAGUCAGUGGUGAAAGCCGACAGCUCAACUGUCGAACUGCCAUUGAUACUGGAAUCUUGAGUACAAAUGAAGUAGGCGGAAUGAGUCAUGUAGCGGUGAAAUGCAUAGAUAUGACUCAGAACACCAAUUGCGAAGGCACUUACUAAUGUAACUGACCUGAGGGACAAAGCGUGGGGAGCGAACAGGAUUAGAUACCCUGUAGUCCACGCCUAAACGAUCAUCACUCGCUGUUGGAUAUACAGUCAGCGGCCAAGCGAAAGUAUUAAGUGAUGCACCUGGGGAGUACGCCGGCAACGGUGAAACUCAAAGGAAUUGGGGGGGCCGCACAAGCGGUGGACAUGUGGUUUACUUCGAUGAUACGCGAGGAUCUUCCAGGCUAAAUGUAUUACUGGUCUGAAAGACUUUCUCUCGAGCAGAUAAGCUGCAUGUGUCGUCAGCUCGUGCGGGUAGGUAAGUCGCAGAUCUCUUGCAGCGGGCUUAAAGACUGCCAGCAGCUGAAAGAUCGUAUCUCUACAGCUACA
rnacentral:rRNA from 1 species